rnacentral:rRNA from 1 species
UACGGAGGGUGCAAGCGUUAUCCGGAUUCACUGGGUUUAAAGGGUGUGUAGGCGGGCUGUUAAGUCAGUGGUGAAAUCUCCGGGCUCAACCCGGAAACUGCCAUUGAUACUAAUGGUCUUGAAUUUUGUUGAGGUAGGCGGAAUAAGUCAUGUAGCGGUGAAAUGCAUAGAUAUGACUUAGAACACCAAUUGCGAAGGCAGCUUGCUAAACAAAUAUUGACGCUGAGGCACGAAAGCGUGGGGAUCAAACAGG